CGGUCAUGAGGUUCUGUGAGAAGCGCAGAGAGGCGGAGAAAGAAAGGCGGAAAACCGAUUAAAACUAAUGUUCGAAUCGUCGCCUCGGUUUGUCAGUACUGUGAGAAAACUUAAUUACCGAAAAAGCCUGGAUGGUAAAACAAGCUUUGAAGCCAUUCUUUGUCGAACACGAGUGAAGCUGGAUGUUGAAUACACCUGCGGCGCGAAGGUGUCACCACUUUGUCCAUGACAUCGUCCACGAUCGCUGAGAAGUCGUCCACGAUUGCAGAGACAUAGUCCAUGAUCGGAGCGACAUUGUCGAGGAUGAGGGAGACAUCAUCCAUGAUCAGAGACACUGUCCAUGACUCGUAGAGACGUGCAAAAACUGCAGUGACGGAGUUCCCUGAUUUGACAGCAUUAUGUGCGAUCAGAGAGACACUGUCAGUGAUCACAUAGAUUUUGUUCAUAACCUCGGAGACAUCGUCCACGAUCACAGAGGCGUUGUCCAUGAUCACAGAAAUGUUGUUCACGACCACAGAGAGUCUUCGUACAUUGAAGAAGUUCUUUGAGACCAGGCCUAAGGACUCCAGGUGACACCACUUCAUCCACGACAUCGUCCACGAUCGCAGAGACAUGGUCCAUGAUCGGAGAGACAUUGUUGAGGAUGAGGGAGACAUCGUCCUCGAUCAGAGACAUUGUCCACGAUCGCAGAGACCUUGUCAAAGAUGAGAGAGACGUUGUCCAUGAUCAGAGACAUUGUCCCAUGCUUCGUAGAGACCUUGCGAUAGAAUCGGCGGAGACGGGGGUCACCGAUUUGACGGCACUGCCCGCGAUCAUGGAGACAUUGUCGAUGAUCACAGAGACACCGUCUAUGAUCUCAGAGACAUCGUCCACGAUUGCAAAGACAGUGGCCCAUGAUCACAGAGACUUUGUCCAUAAUCUCAGAGACAUUGUCCGCGAUCACAGAGACGUAGUCCACGAUCACAGAGAGUCUUCGUACAAUUAAGAAGUUCUCUGAGACCAGGACAGAGGCCUCCAGGUGACACCACUUCAUCCACGACAUCGUCCACGAUCGCAGAGACAUGGUCCAUGAUCGGAGAGACAUUGUUGAGGAUGAGGGAGACAUCGUCCUCGAUCAGAGACAUUGUCCACGAUCGCAGAGACCUUGUCAAAGAUGAGAGAGACAUUGUCCAUGAUCAGAGACAUUGUCCCAUGCUUCGUAGAGACCUUGCGAUAGAAUCGGCGGAGACGGGGGUCACCGAUUUGACGGCACUGCCCGCGAUCAUGGAGACAUUGUCGAUGAUCACAGAGACACCGUCUAUGAUCUCAGAGACAUCGUCCACGAUUGCAAAGACAGUGACCCAUGAUCACAGAGACUUUGUCCAUAAUCUCAGAGACAUUGUCCGCGAUCACAGAGACGUAGUCCACGAUCACAGAGAGUCUUCGUACAAUUAAGAAGUUCUCUGAGACCAGGACAGAGGCCUCCAGGUGACACCACUUCAUCCACGACAUCGUCCACGAUCGCAGAGACAUGGUCCAUGAUCGGAGAGACAUUGUUGAGGAUGAGGGAGACAUCGUCCUCGAUCAGAGACAUUGUCCACAAUCGCAGAGACCUUGUCAAAGAUGAGAGAGACAUUGUCCAUGAUCAGAGACAUUGACCCAUGCUUCGUAGAGACCUUGCGAUAGAAUCGGCGGAGACGGGGGUCACCGAUUUGACGGCACUGCCCGCGAUCAUGGAGACAUUGUCGAUGAUCACAGAGACACCGUCUAUGAUCUCAGAGACAUCGUCCACGAUUGCAAAG